rnacentral:snoRNA from 1 species
CCAACAUUGACAUCCAGUGAACUGGCCUUCACAUGGCUCUGUCUUUGUGGUUCAUGGGAGCUCAGCUUAACAGCAAUGAGGUACAUUCCCAUACACUCUGUUGGAAAGCAACUUUGUCCCCAGUGCUAAGCAUUGGUGUGGACAAGCCAUCGCAUAUUCCUGCGCUUUCUCAGAGCUGUUAUGCAGCGGUCACUGAGGAGUCAAACCAUGUGAUGGACAAUU